UUAAAAUCCUUUUUGACCAGGA
rnacentral:miRNA from 1 species